rnacentral:lncRNA from 1 species
AAACAGCCACCGCCGUCUAGUACCUUGAUAGAAGUGGGAAAAAUUAUCGUUAAUAGUUCGGAGGAGACUGGCGAAACUUACGAGCCUUGGAUGCUAGUUGAAAAUAAAUCCAGGAGGAAAACAAGGGAUCUUUCAAAGAUUGAGGCGAAAAUCACGACAAAAAAUAAUGAAGCCUCUCGUUACAGAGCUUUAAUUGAAA